GGACGUUUAGCUCAGCUGGUUAGAGUACAUCGUUCACAUCGAUGGGGUCGUAGGUUCAAGUCCUACAACGUCCACCA
rnacentral:tRNA from 1 species